CAGGUUAAUAUUCCUGUACUUGGUGUUACUGCGAAGGGGGGACGGAGAAGGCUAUGUUGGCCGGGCGACGGUUGUCCCGGUUUAAGCGUGUAGGCUGGUUUUCCAGGCAAAUCCGGAAAAUCAAGGCUGAGGCGUGAUGACGAGGCACUACGGUGCUGAAGCAACAAAUGCCCUGCUUCCAGGAAAAGCCUCUAAGCAUCAGGUAACAUCAAAUCGUACCCCAAACCGACACAGGUGGUCAGGUAGAGAAUACCAAGGCGCUUGAGAGAACUCGGGUGAAGGAACUAGGCAAAAUGGUGCCGUAACUUCGGGAGAAGGCACGCUGAUAUGUAGGUGAAGUCCCU
rnacentral:rRNA from 1 species